UUGAUCACAUUUAAGAUGAUUAACUUCAACAUCGGCCAAGGUUCGAAAAAAUCCGGAAUAGUCACAUAAGUACAAGCUGUUGAUACAUGCUUCCAAACUAGACAUUGAUUCAUUUUGAGGUAGCACGGCAAGCACUUCAGGUGAAUCAACGAUUUUGGUCUUGACAUCAACACGAUCUAAAGAAAUUGCACCAGAAAUCACGGCAUAUCGAACGACGUCGUAAUAUGGAAGUAGUUCGGUGGAAGAGAAAGUUGACAUACAAUCCAAGAGAAGGUCGGCGGCACCAGAAAAAUUACGGAUUGACAUCAAAUAUAUGCCUUGGUAGGCCUUUAAUCGAUUUUUCCUCUCCCAAUCACCUCCCUUUUCAAUAAGUGGCUUUAAUUUUUCCAAUAAUUGACCAACGACCCUCAUAUCAGCAUACACGUAUGCCAAACGGAUUUUGGAAAAAAGAACAUCAAUCUUCAUUCCGGUCAAUGUUGCUCGUUCAAAAGUUUCAUCGCAUAACUGUACACCACGUUCUCUAUCGCAUAUAUUCGUAUAAUAAUCAGCUUUGUUUUUCAUGGCUUCUAAAAUUUCAUGUUCUCCAUUAAGUUCUUGGGCAUCUUCGAUCGCUUUGUCAAACUCUGCUAACUUUUCUUCAUUUUUCUUUAUCAUACUAUUUAAAAAAUUACUAUCAAAAUCAAUACUUGCCGAUGUUUUAGGGUUCUCUGAAAGAUAUUUAUAAAGUGGAGCUAAAUCAUGAUCACGAAUGGCAGAAAAAAGCGUAUCCAAAGCCUUUUGGCUCUUAUUCUCAAGGAAUGGCGAGGAAAGCUCGAAAAUCGCUUGCGAAAUGGUCAAAUCUGAUACGGUUCUUGCCUUUUCUGUCAUGGUGCGGUGUGUGAGUGUUGCAGAGGGAGAACACAUAUCAAC